rnacentral:misc_RNA from 1 species
AGUCGUAACAAGGUUUCCGUAGGUGAACCUGCGGAAGGAUCAUUACCAAACAUCUCAUUCUCAUCUUGAUGAUGAUGAUGAUGAAAUAAUCAACAACAACAACCCUGUUGAAACGUGUUGUGGUGGUGUGGGACACACGGUGAUGACCGACCAUCUCGUCCCGUGGUGUGAUCCCCGCCACCAUGCUAUAUCACAACGAUACGAGAUUUGGAUGGACAGAGAUGAUGAUGGUGAUGAUGGCAACAUGAUCAUCAUCAUCAUCAUCAUCAAUCAUAUGAUGAUUCAUAACGCAAUCAAACUUUUAACAAUGGAUCUCUUGGCUCUU